UACGUAGGGGGCAAGCGUUGUCCGGAUUUAUUGGGCGUAAAGAGCGUGUAGGCGGCUAGAUAGGUCCGUUGUGAAAACUCGAGGCUCAACCUCGAGACGUCGAUGGAAACCAUCUGGCUAGAGUCCGGAAGAGGAGAGUGGAAUUCCUGGUGUAGCGGUGAAAUGCGCAGAUAUCAGGAAGAACACCAGUGGCGAAGGCGGCUCACUGGCCCGGUACUGACGCUGAGGCGCGAAAGCGUGGGGGGAGCGAACAGG
rnacentral:rRNA from 1 species